UGCGGAGGAAAAGAAACUAACAAGGAUUCCCCUAGUAACGGCGAGUGAAGCGGGAAGAGCUCAAAUUUGAAAUCUGGUAGCCUUCGGUUGCCCGAGUUGUAAUCUAGAGAAGUGUUUUCCGCGUUGGCCCAUGUACAAGUCCCUUGGAACAGGGCGUCAUAGAGGGUGAGAAUCCCGUCCUUGACAUGGACCCCCAAUGCUUUGUGAUACACUUUCAACGAGUCGAGUUGUUUGGGAAUGCAGCUCAAAAUGGGUGGUGAAUUCCAUCUAAAGCUAAAUAUUGGCGAGAGACCGAUAGCGAACAAGUACCGUGAGGGAAAGAUGAAAAGCACUUUGGAAAGAGAGUUAAACAGUACGUGAAAUUGUUGAAAGGGAAACGAUUGAAGUCAGUCAUGCUCUUUGGAUUAAGCCGUUCUGCGGUGUAUUUCAUUGAGCGGGGUCAACAUCAGUUUUGAUCGCUGGAAAAGGGCAGGAGGAAGGUAGCACUCUCGGGUGAACUUAUAGCCUCUUGUCGUAUACAGUGAUUGGGACUGAGGAACGCAGCAUGCCUUUUGGCCGGGAUUCGUCCACGUACAUGCUUAGGAUGUUGACAUAAUGGCUUUAAACGACCCGUCUA
rnacentral:rRNA from 1 species